UAGAACUCUUCUGAACCAUAAGACUUGCCCAAACAACAUGCAUGUACCCGUAUUACAAAUUCAGGAACCCCUAUAUCGCCAUAAGAUCCAUAUGAAGGAGACUUGUUCAAGAGUGUGAGACUUUUAAAGUCGUGAGAGUUGAGACCCAUGCCCUCCGCGAACCUCUCGAGUCCUCCUCGCCUUUCCAUUUUCAUCGGUAUUCCCGAAGAUUCUAGUAUUUAGCGAAAUAGCCUUCUCCACGGGGAAAAAAAUCAAUCUGAGAUUCUAGACAUUCUUAUUCGGCGAUUUGAGCUAAAUUCCUUCGACACCUUCCUCUCUGAAGAUGCAUAUUUUUGUGAAAACCCUCGCUGGCAAGGCCAUUACACUUGAGGUUGAGAGCUCAGACACAAUUGAUAACGUUAAGGCUAAGAAUCGAGAUAAGGAAGGAAUUCUGUUACUUUGGAAUUCUACGAUUCAAGACACAGUUGAUACCCAGCAAAAAAAAA